UCUCGGAUAGUAUAGUGGUAAGUAUCCCAGUCUGUCACAUUAAAGACCCGGGUUCAAUUUCCCGGUCCGAGAG